rnacentral:rRNA from 1 species
AUACGUAGGUGACAAGCGUUAUCCGGAUUUACUGGGCGUAAAGGGCGUGUAGGCGGUCUUGCAAGUCAGAAGUGAAAUUCCUGAGCUCAACUCGGGCGCUGCUUCUGAAACUGGUACACUUGAGUGCUGGAGGGGAAAGCGGAAUUCCUAGUGUAGCGGUAAAAUGCGUAGAUAUUAGGAGGAACACCCGUCUCGAAGGCGGGUUUCUGGACAGUAACUGACGCUGAGGCGCGAAAGCGUGGAGAGAAGACAGGUUGAGAUGCCUUAGUAGUCCACGCCAUAAACGGUUAAUACUAGGUGUAGGGGGUAUAGACCCCCUCUGAGCCGACGUUAACACAUUGAGUAUUCCGCCUGGGGAGUACGGCCGCAAGGCUGAAACUCAAAUGAAUUGACGGGG